AGCAGUAGCCACGGGAAUACGGAGGGAGCUAGCGUUGUUCGGAAUUACUGGGCGUAAAGCGCACGUAGGCGGUUAUUCAAGUCAGUGGUGAAAGCCCGGGGCUCAACCCCGGAACUGCCUUUGAAACUAGAUGACUGGAAUCUUGGAGAGGUCAGUGGAAUCCCGAGUGUAGAGGUGAAAUUCGUAGAUAUUCGGAAGAACACCAGUGGCGAAGGCGACUGACUGGACAAGUAUUGACGCUGAGGUGCGAAAGCGUGGGGAGCAAACAGGAUUAGAUACCCCUGUAGUCCCUGUCUCUUAUAA
rnacentral:rRNA from 1 species